AGUGAACGCUGGCGGUAGGCCUAACACAUGCAAGUCGAACGGCAGCACAGUAAGAGCUUGCUCUUACGGGUGGCGAGUGGCGGACGGGUGAGGAAUACAUCGGAAUCUACUUUUUCGUGGGGGAUAACGUAGGGAAACUUACGCUAAUACCGCAUACGACCUACGGGUGAAAGCAGGGGAUCUUCGGACCUUGCGCGAUUGAAUGAGCCGAUGUCGGAUUAGCUAGUUGGCGGGGUAAAGGCCCACCAAGGCGCCGAUCCGUAGCUGGUCUGAGAGGAUGAACAGCCACACUGGAACUGAGACACGGUCCAGACUCCUACGGGAGGCAGCAGUGGGGAAUAUUGGACAAUGGGCGCAAGCCUGAUCCAGCCAUACCGCGUGGGUGAAGAAGGCCUUCGGGUUGUAAAGCCCUUUUGUUGGGAAAGAAAAGCAGCAGGUUAAUACCCCGCUGUUCUGACGGUACCCAAAGAAUAAGCACCGGCUAACUUCGUG
rnacentral:rRNA from 1 species